rnacentral:rRNA from 1 species
AUGAAAUUGCCCCUAAAAGAGUUGUCCUUUAAACAGGAGUGGGUAGCGAAAGCAAUGCUAAUCAGGUGUCCGGCCCCCCUCCCCGAGACCACGCCGGGUCCCGUGCUAUUCAGGAUGUUGGAGGUUGUGCCUUCAAAGGGAAGCGAGGAAGGGGACAAGGAAGCUACAGCCUUCUCAAAGGAGGUUGUCCGGAAGGGAGGAAUCGAAAAUUCCUCUCCUCCGAGGAAGAAGAGGACCGCCUCUGAAGACCCGGAGACCAUGGCCUUAAAGCGGGGGAAGAAAUCUUCGCCAGAGGGUCCUGUGCUGGGGGAUACUUCGGCCGAAUUAUGCCCUCAAGGGGAUCAGCCCUCCACUGAGCCGUAA